rnacentral:lncRNA from 1 species
AAAAAACUGGUUGAAGGAAAAAAGAGUGCAUAACCAUGUAUAACAUAAAAUUUUGUGUAUAUUGACACGCGUGUGACACUGCCUUGUUAAAACCAUGCCAAGAAAAACGUAGUGGGAUAAAAACCUGGAAGAAGGAAAAAGAGUACAGUGUGUGAAGAUCUUUAUUGAUAGCACACUCCCCCUAAUGCUUGGCAAAAUAUCUUUAAGCCAAACUGUUGAUCAUCUUUCUGAAUAUCAUAGCUAGCACUGCUUCUGUGAGUCAAUCUUGUAAUAUUGUUAGAUGUUCC